rnacentral:lncRNA from 1 species
AAAACCCUUUCGGUGGUUAAUAUAUGAAGAUCUUUGCCAGGAGGAACAAGAAAAGGAAGUUAAAGGUGCCGUGUUCUUGAGGAGAUGGAUACUGAAAGAUGUGAAACCAGUAAAAUUCCACACUUCAUGGAAGGAAAAAUUGGAGUUGCAAGUUAAUUGUGACUGGAGACCUGGCAGGGUGGCGUGGCUCACAGUGGCUUAGAUUUCGAACACUGACUGUGUCAACACCAAGAGCUGUACGUUUUCAAGAGGAAAGAUCAGUUCACUCAUCUGGCUAAUCAUUUCCCCAAGAAAAUGCAAAUUUGUCCCCAAGAAAAUGCAAAUUUGAACAACAGUUUGGUCAUGCCUGGGUGUCUCAGUCUGGGAAGGUAAGUCUUAAACUUUCUCUUCUAGAUCCUAGAAAUUUGGAGGGGUUUUUUGGCUGCAGAGUACAUGAGAAGGAGGUAUGAAAAGGAAGGAAAAAUAGGAAUUUCUUACACCUGCUUCACCAUGCAUGCAUGUGAGGCCUAGCUGAUAACCAAAGGUUAGCAUUGAGCAAAUAAGAGUGAAUGGUAGCUUGGCUCAUUUCAUACUUAAACAUACCAUAAUUUAAGAUAUUUAAACAGAUCUGUAUUCCUUUAAAAUUAAUGAAUGUCUUUGAAGACCUGACAGCAGUGUGACUGAAGGUUAUACUUCUUUCCAGAAGGCACCAAGUGAUG